rnacentral:rRNA from 1 species
CAAACAGGAUUAGAUACCCUGGUAGUCCACGCCCUAAACGAUGUCUACUAGUUGUCGGGUCUUAAUUGACUUGGUAACGCAGCUAACGCGUGAAGUAGACCGCCUGGGGAGUACGGUCGCAAGAUUAAAACUCAAAGGAAUUGACGGGGACCCGCACAAGCGGUGGAUGAUGUGGAUUAAUUCGAUGCAACGCGAAAAACCUUACCUACCCUUGACAUGGAUGGAAUCCCGGAGAGAUUUGGGAGUGCCCGAAAGGGAACCAUUACACAGGUGCUGCAUGGCUGUCGUCAGCUCGUGUCGUGAGAUGUUGGGUUAAGUCCCGCAACGAGCGCAACCCUUGUCAUUAGUUGCUACGAAAGAGCACUCUAAUGAGACUGCCGGUGACAAACCGGAGGAAGGUGGGGAUGACGUCAAGUCCUCAUGGCCCUUAUGGGUAGGGCUUCACACGUCAUACAAUGGUACAUACAGAGGGCCGCCAACCCGCGAGGGGGAGCUAAUCCCAGAAAGUGUAUCGUAGUCCGGAUCGUAGUCUGCAACUCGACUACGUGAAGUUGGAAUCGCUAGUAAUCGCGGAUCAGCAUGUCGCGGUGAAUACGUUCCCGGGUCUUGUACACACCGCCCGUCACACCAUGGGAGCGGGUUUUACCAGAAGUAGGUAGCUUAACCGCAAGGAGGGCGCUUACCACGGUAGGAUUCGUGACUGGGGUGAAGUCGUAACAAGGUAACC